rnacentral:rRNA from 1 species
CGGGGCUAAUACCGGAUAACAUUUUGAACCGCAUGGUUCGAAAUUGAAAGGCGGCUUCGGCUGUCACUUAUGGAUGGACCCGCGUCGCAUUAGCUAGUUGGUGAGGUAACGGCUCACCAAGGCAACGAUGCGUAGCCGACCUGAGAGGGUGAUCGGCCACACUGGGACUGAGACACGGCCCAGACUCCUACGGGAGGCAGCAGUAGGGAAUCUUCCGCAAUGGACGAAAGUCUGACGGAGCAACGCCGCGUGAGUGAUGAAGGCUUUCGGGUCGUAAAACUCUGUUGUUAGGGAAGAACAAGUGCUAGUUGAAUAAGCUGGCACCUUGACGGUACCUAACCAGAAAGCCACGGCUAACUACGUGCCAGCAGCCGCGGUAAUACGUAGGUGGCAAGCGUUAUCCGGAAUUAUUGGGCGUAAAGCGCGCGCAGGUGGUUUCUUAAGUCUGAUGUGAAAGCCCACGGCUCAACCGUGGAGGGUCAUUGGAAACUGGGAGACUUGAGUGCAGAAGAGGAAAGUGGAAUUCCAUGUGUAGCGGUGAAAUGCGUAGAGAUAUGGAGGAACACCAGUGGCGAAGGCGACUUUCUGGUCUGUAACUGACACUGAGGCGCGAAAGCGUGGGGAGCAAACAGGAUUAGAUACCC